UCGCAAAUGAUAAUCUUUUAAUAGAACCGACAGAAUACUAAUAAGGGUCUUCGAAAUGACGAAGUCUGGCUUUUUGCAGGGUAUACUUUAUACGUAUAUACCAAUAAUUUCUCGAGUUGCAACUAAUCACAUUUAAGAAGUUAUUAAACUUUAAAUUUGCAAGUGAGUUUUAAAGCAUAAGAGUGACUAACAUGAAGAACAAGCAGCUAAACAAAUUUCAGCACAACAACUUCCAAAGCAUUCACACAAGGAGCUUAACCAAGAGCAACCAUCAUCGGCACAACAACAACAUUCGCAGCAGCAAGCAGUGACACAUGCGCCAACCGACUCGCCUAUACAAAUGUUACAACUGCAAAUGUAUAUUUUUUUUAAAGAAAAAACUAAAAGGAAUCUUAGUGAAAAUAAUUAGAUGAAAAAUAAAUACAUAUAUACCAAUAAAUUCUUGAGUUGACGUGUUCAGUUUUUUCCACUGACAUUUGUUGCAUUACUGGCGCCGCCAUUGUUUUGUUCAAAGUGUCAAAUUCGUGAAUUCAGAGCCAGAGCCACUCUAAAAUAUCAAAACUUAAAAGUGAAUAUAGUAAUAAAUAAAUUUACAUAAUUAUAAAGUUAGAUGUUAAUUUUUUGAUAUAUUAUUCUCUAUUCUACAAAAUGGUCUUAUUUGUCAAUGUUUUUGUUUCAAAUCGACACUGGCUGAUCUAUUUAAAGGGCAGAAUAGGCCGUGCUUAUGUUGAACUUUUUUUUAUAUAUGUAUAGGAAUAGGGGCAAAAAUAAAAUUUAAUAAACUUAAGGGACAGAUUUAUGAAAAAGUUAAAUUUAACGGGUAAAAAAAUAUUUUAAACUACUACUAUAAAAAAAACUCAACCCACGGUAUAUAAUUUAUUCAAACUUUUCUCUCUAAUCUUCAACUUUUUACUUCAGUUUUCAGCCCAAAAAAAUCUGCCUCGGCUGGAAACAGAUCCUAGAUCUAGACCUAGACCCUGCAAACAUUAUUCAAAUUUUGAUUUUAAGCGUAAACAUAGAACAAAAAUAUACACUUUAUAUAUAUAAAUUGUAUAAAUGAGAUUGCUUUUGCAAAACGAAAAACUAUUUAUUAAAACUUGAAAGUAUAAUAUAACCUCUAAAAGACGAUGUGAAUCUUAACUGGAGCAAAGAAACAAAGUUGCUCUGUCUCGGUUAGUAGGAAGCCUAAAAAUCACCACUUCUGCUGCCGGAGCGGCGAGAACUCGCAGGAAUCUGACUUGAAACGCCGGAAACUGACUAUAACGCCAGAAUCUUACCCUAAACUCGACCUUUUCUUUUCUUUCCGAUUACCCAAAUCGGAAUUUCAUCCACAUAGUCCUUAUCUUUCAUCUACAAUCCCAUUUUCCCAUCUUUUCUUACUGAACUUUAGCACAUAUGAACUACUUUAUUGGAUUUAAUUGAAUUUCAUUUGGGAGUAGCAGACUCGUGUAGUGAUAAAGAUGAGACCUACUCAUUUAAUAUGGAUAACAAAAGCAUUCAACGUGUAAUAUUUAAUAUUUUGCCAGCAG
rnacentral:lncRNA from 1 species